rnacentral:rRNA from 1 species
AUUACCGCGGCUGCUGGCACGGAGUUAGCCGGUGCUUAUUCUUCAGGUACCUUCAGCCCCGGAGUAAAUCCAGGGGUUUAUUCCCUGACUAAAGCAGUUUACAACCCAUAGGGCCGUCUUCCUGCACGCUGGAUGGCUGGUUCAGGCUUGCGCCCAUUGACCAAUAUUCCUUACUGCUGCCUCCCGUAGG